rnacentral:lncRNA from 1 species
AAAUACAUUUUUCCUGGGACGCCUCCAAAAACCUUGAGGCUGCGAGUAUGCUGAGGCUGGCUAGCUUUCAUGCUGACCGUUUAUUGUGUUGCACUCAAAGGGCCUGUUUUCGAGCUGUUUUUGAGGAAAUGUGGUGAAUGUAAACUUACUCUGUUUGGGGGGAAAAUUCUGGUAAGUGGUGCUGUCUUGAUUAAUUUUGUUUUUCAAUGACARUUUCAGAGAGAGAUUGCUUUA